CAUGGCUCAGGAUGAACGCUAGCGGCAGGCCUAACACAUGCAAGUCGAGGGAGAGGUUACCUUCGGGUAACCAAAACCGGCGCACGGGUGCGUAACGCGUAUACAAUCUGCCUUUCACAUAGGGAUAGCCCGAAGAAAUUUGGAUUAAUACCUAAUGGUAUAUAAGAGCGGCAUCGUUUUUAUAUUAAAGCUACGGUGGUGAAAGAUGAGUAUGCGUUCUAUUAGCUAGUUGGAGAGGUAACGGCUCCCCAAGGCGACGAUAGAUAGGGGUUCUGAGAGGGAUGUCCCCCACACUGGUACUGAGAUACGGACCAGACUCCUACGG
rnacentral:rRNA from 1 species